GAAACUCUGACCGAGCAAUGCCGCGUGAACGAUGAAGUAUUUCGGUACGUAAAGUUCUUUUAUUAGGGAAGAAAAGAUGGUGGAAAAACCAUUAUGACGGUACCUAAUGAAUAAGCCCCGGCUAACUAUGUGCCAGCAGCCGCGGUAAUACAUAGGGGGCAAGCGUUAUCCGGAAUUAUUGGGCGUAAAGGGUGCGUAGGCGGUUAAAUAAGUUUAUGGUCUAAGUGCAACGCUCAACGUUGUGAUGCUAUAAAAACUGUUUAGCUAGAGUUGGAUAGAGGCAAGUGGAAUUCCGUGUGUAGUGGUAAAAUGCGUAAAUAUACGGAGGAACACCAGAAGCGAAGGCGGCUUGCUGGGUCUUAACUGACGCUGAGGCACGAAAGCGUGGGGAGCAAACAGGAUUAGAUACCCUGGUAGUCCACGCCCUAAACGAUGAGUACUAAACGUUGGAUAAAACCAGUGUUGAAGUUAACACAUUAAGUACUCCGCCUGAGUAGUACGUACGCAAGUAUGAAACUUAAAGGAAUUGACGGGACUCCGCACAAGCGGUGGAUCAUGUUGUUUAAUUCGAAGGUACCCGAAAAACCUCACCAGGUCUUGACAUGCUUUUGCAAAGCUGUAGAAAUACAGUGGAGGUUAUCAGAAGCACAGGUGGUGCAUGGUUGUCGUCAGCUCGUGUCGUGAGAUGUUGGGUUAAGUCCCGCAACGAGCGCAACCCUUGUUGUUAAUUGCCAUCAUUAAGUUGGGGACUUUAGCAAGACUGCCAAUGAUAAAUUGGAGGAAGGUGGGGACGACGUCAAAUCAUCAUGCCCC
rnacentral:rRNA from 1 species